AGCAGCCGCGGUAAUUCCAGCUCCAAUAGCGUAUAUUAAAGUUGUUGCAGUUAAAAAGCUCGUAGUUGAAUUUCGGGAUCAGUACGCUGGUCAUGCCUUUGGUAUGCACUGGUGUCACUGGUUUCUCCCUUCUGAAGAUCCGUGAUGUCAUUAAUUUGGUGUCGCGGGGAAUCAGGACUGUUACUUUGAAAAAAUUAGAGUGUUUAAAGCAGGCUCACGCUUGAAUACAUUAGCAUGGAAUAAUGAAAUAGGACGUUUGACCCUAUUUUGUGGUUUCUAGGAUCGACGUAAUGAUUAAUAGGGAUAGUUGGGGGCAUUAGUAUUCAAUUGUCAGAGGUGAAAUUCUUGGAUUUAUUGAAGACUAACUACUGCGAAAGCAUUUGCCAAGGAUGUUUUCAUUAAUCAAGAACGAAGUUAGGGAUCGAAGACGAUCAGAUACCGUCGUAGUCU
rnacentral:rRNA from 1 species